AAAAAGAUAAACCUUAGGUUUUCGUGUCCAACAUUUGACUGUCUGUCUUAUAUGAAAUUUUUUUUAUAGUUAGUAUUUUCAUUGUUGUUAGAUGAUAAAACAUGAUUAAUAUUUUAUGCGUAACUUAUCUUUUUAAUUUUUUUCAUGAUUUUUUCAAAUAAGACGGACGGUCAAACGUUGGAGUAGAUCAUUUAAGAAUAACCUCAAA
rfam:Oryza sativa Japonica Group DNA, chromosome 12, cultivar: Nipponbare, complete sequence.